rnacentral:rRNA from 1 species
UGGGGAAUAUUGGACAAUGGAGGAAACUCUGAUCCAGCAAUUCUGUGUGUGUGAAGAAGGUUUUAGGACUGUAAAACACUUUUAGUAGGGAAGAAAAAAUGACGGUACCUACAGAAGAAGCAACGGCUAAAUACGUUCCAGCAGCCGCGGUAAUACGUAUGUUGCGAGCGUUAUCCGGAAUUAUUGGGCUUAAAGGGCAUCUAGGCGGUAAGACAAGUUGAAGGUGAAAACCUGUGGCUCAACCAUAGGCUUGCCUACAAAACUGUUGAACUAGAGUACUGGAAAGGUGGGUGGAACUACACGAGUAGAGGUGAAAUUCGUAGAUAUGUGUAGGAAUGCCGAUGAUGAAGAUAACUCACUGGACAGAAACUGACGCUGAAGUGCGAAAGCUAGGGGAGCAAACAGG